CCUACGGGAGGCAGCAGUGGGGAAUAUUGGGCAAUGGGCGCAAGCCUGACCCAGCAACGCCGCGUGAAGGAAGAAGGCUUUCGGGUUGUAAACUUCUUUUGUCAGGGACGAGCAGAUGACGGUACCUGAGGAAUAAGCCACGGCUAACUACGUGCCAGCAGCCGCGGUAAUACGUAGGUGGCAAGCGUUGUUCGGAUUUACUGGGGGUAAAGGGCGUGUAGCCGGGCUGAUAAGUCAGAUGUGAAAUCCGGGGGCUCAAACCCCGAACUGCAUUUUAAACUGUUGGUCUUGAGUAUCGGAGAGGAUGGCGGAAUUCCUAGUGUAGCGGUGGAAUGCGUAGAUAUUAGGAGGAACACCAGUGGCGAAGGCGGCCUGCUGGACGACAACUGACGGUGAGGCGCGAAAGCGUGGGGAGCAAACAGGAUUAGAUACCCGAGUAGUC
rnacentral:rRNA from 1 species